rnacentral:lncRNA from 1 species
GCCCGUCGCCGGGUUGGCAGACGUGAGAAGAAGCGAAGAUGGCGGAGUGAGGAGCGCCUCGGCCAUUUGGCCGUUUGGCCUCUGGGCCGGGGGCGUGCAGGCCCUCGGGAAGCCGACUGCGUCUGAUGGACCAUGUGAGGUGAGCCGAGAAGGGAGACUACGAGGGGACAAGGAGGCUGUGUCUUGCCCAGCCUUCCGGGCACCGAGUGUGCGGGAGCCUGCUGGUAACAGAGCCCUUCCAAGCUGGAAUUGCCAUCCUUGGCCGCCCCAGGGCAAUCCACACCGCCGUCCCGGUGUGUUCCUCAGUCUACUUGUUCAAGCCUCCUCCCGGCUCCCCGCCCUUCCCUGUGCCUUGCCUUUGCCUGCCAUUGUGUUUCGGUUUGUUCCUAGGGGAUUUCACACAUACUGGGCUUUCGUGGCAGCCGAUUGUCGGCCACCGAUUUUUUUUUUUUUUUAAGAAUUUCUUUGUUUUAUUGAUUUAUUUUCAUCUUUCGUCUCACGACUUGGUGCCCACGCUGUUGUCUAAGGCUCCAGUGUCAUUUGAGGCCUUUUGUGGCCCUGAGUAUUUUUUUCUCCAGCCCGUUGACCUUGAGAUUUCGUGUAACAGGUUACCCCUGGAUUUUCAUUAGCGUUUGUGUAUCUCAGACAUCCCCUCGAACCUAUAGUAUAUCCAAUCGCUUCUGCUCCUACCUCCCAAACUUUUAUGAUCCCGAGAAAGCAGCUUUGUCCUUGUCCUCGAAAGUCUUAUAAUGGCUGUAUGACGCUUUAAUUUCGGCUGAAGCUAGGUCACAGUGGUAUUCACUGUUGAUUUCUGAUCCAAAAGUAAGGGAGUGAGUUUACAGAGCUUUUUUAAACAAAGAGAAAUAGUUUGGACAAUGUUAUUAGAAAGUAAUUUGUGUAAGGUGUUCAGGUUGCAUAGCAUCAGUACUGUCAGACAUUUGUAUUCUUUUCCUUUUUAACUCUAUGGGGUAUCUAUUCCUAAUUUGGAGUGUUAUAACCCCUGUUGGAUCUUAUUUAAAUUCCAUGCGUUUCUGCUAAUGGGUUUCUGAAUUGGUAAGGCCUUAUUAAAACUGUGACAGGUUAGUUGAGUCGAGUUCAAAUGGAAAUAUUAAUACAAAUGAAUUUUUUUAUAGAUUAUGUGCUCUUUGCUGGCCCUGGAUUUAGGAGAGCUGAAAAUAGCGUAAAGAAGCACUUCUAAUUGAGACUUUUUUGUUGCUUUUGUCCGUUUUUUCAUUUCAUCCAAGAGAAGGAAAAAAGAGCUGGCCAGAAGAAAAUAAUGUAACAUUCUUACAGAGGAGAGUGUAUGUAUACUAAAGCAAAGUAGAUGACUAUAAACUACUGGAAAUAUUAUGCACCAUUAUACAUUUUCCGGGGAGGAACAAAGUUCGAUAGUCUCAUCAGGAAAAGAGGAAAGUGUUUCAUAAAUCUACCACUUCAAGAGUUUUGACAUCUUUUGAAAGUAGGUGCCAGUGCAGUAGAGAGUAACUUUUUGCUAAUUGUUUCUUCUGAAUUGUUUGUAUUAGUGAUUUUUUUAAAUAUUUAUGUUUUUGGUUGUAGUUGGACACAAUAUCUUCAUUAUUUAGUGCGGUCUGGAGGAUCGAACCCAGGGCCUCGCACAUGCUAGGCUCUGCUGCUGAGCCACAAUCCCAGCCCCUGUAUUAGUGAGUUUUUUAUAGUAGUACAUAUAGCACCAGUGAUGGCUAUAUCCUUACCUUAAUGUUAUUUUUAUUUUUCAGAAUUCUUGUCACACAGGAUGAACACUUUCCUUACAUUUAGGUGCUUUUUAUUCAUCUCAAAACAAAAUUCUGAACUCAGGAUGUGGCUGGUAAGUAGCAGUAGGCUAAUCAUUUCAAAUAAUAUUUAAGCAGCAACAAAAGGUGAAUAUUAAAUUGACUAUAAAUUAUUGAUAGCUGAGUACUUUAUUUACAUAUGUAUCCUUGUUUUUUAAAAAGACAGGGUCUUGCUAUGUUGCCCUCCUGGCCCUAAACUCAUGGCCCUAAACUCAAAUGAUUCUCCUGCCUCAGCCUCCCUAGUAGCUGGGACUAUAGACUACCACUACUCCUGGCGCAUAUUCUGUAUUUUAACAGAAGCAAUAUAAAAAAUUUAAAAAGGAAAAAUUUUAUCAGUUACCUAACCUAUAAUUUUUCAUUGGCUAUCAGAAACAUAGGUUUAAUUAGAUGGAAGGAAAUGAACUGAUUAAAAAAUAAAUAUUACUAUGCAAGUUUUAGAAUGUAUUCACUUAGAUUUCAUUGUUAUUUUGUUCAAAGUACUGGCUAUCAAAACCAUGCCUUGCCCAUGCUAGGCAAGCUCUCUACCACUGAGCUACUUCCCCAGCCCUAGGUCUUUUUUAAUGUUGAUGUUUAUAGCUGUACAUUUCCCUCUUAGUGUUACUUUCACUAUAUACAUAAAUUUUGUUUUUGCUUUUAUAUAUGGGAGCUUGCAUCCAGAAGCACUUUACCGAUGAGCCACAUCCCCCAGCCCUCUGUAUUUUGAGACAGGGUUUGCUAAGUUGCUUAGGGCCUCAAUAAGUUUCUGAGGCUGGUCUUGACCUUGUGAUCUUCCUGCCUUAGCCUCCCAAGUUGCUGGGAUUAUAGGUGUCCGUAAAUAUGCUCAGCUCUGAAAAUUUUUAGUAUUUUUUUUUCUCAUUUAUCUCAAGAUAUUUUCUAAUUUCUGAUUUUUUUUCUUUCACCCAUUGAUUAUUUAGAUAGAGUUUACUUUCCAUUGGCUCACUGAUUUUAAAUUCUGAGAAUUUAAGGUUCCCAGGACAAAGCCAGUUAAAUUCUUUAUCAUAAGAAAAUGUCCAACCCUGAGCAACUUAGUGAGACCCCUGUCUCAAAAUAGAAAAUAAAAAGGGCUGGGGAUGUAAUUAAGUACCUCUUGAUUCAAUCCCCAGUUUUAAAAAAAAGACAAUAUUGAAUUUGGUGUGAUGGUUGGGCAUUUUCUUAUAAAGUAUAAUCCAAAGUAUUAGUUUUUUUAUGUAUAUUUUAAAUAUUGUUUUAAAAAAUAAGUUCAUGUAGAAGAAGUACCUGUCCUAAUCUUUCUAUUUUUAAUUUAUUUUGUAUUUCUAGGUAUUUCUAUGUUGUCUUCUAGAGCGGGUAGUCCUGCUUCUUUUAUCCAGCCACUUUCCCUACUGAAAUAUGGAUACCUUUCUACACAUUACCUCCAUGGUUUAGAUUGGAAAAGAUUGCUUUUCUUUUGUUCCAUCUUUCAAAUUCAACACAGAAAGAAGCCCUUAGGGUGCAGUUAUCCUGCUGACUUCUCCCGGAAGAAAAAAAGCAAUUGAUGGGUCUUCUGCAAUUUGCUUAAUUAUCAAAAAAUUAUUUUGCAAGCUGAAGGCUGACGUUUAAUUUGAAACAGGUGCUUAGGUUGUGGUAUUUGUGAAUUCUUAGCCUUUUGCUCCAAACAAGAAGACUAAUAAAUGGCAAGUAUGGAUGACUUCAGGUUUUUUAAAAAAAUGUCUUCCAGUUUCGGCCACUAUUAUGAUAAGCACAUUUGAGACUGCAGCAGUAAAUUCCAAAUAUUUGUUGUAAUUUGAAAAGAAAAAGAUGUUAAAAAGUUACAUAUAUCUCUAUAUCCUGGUUCAUCUUGUGACAGAUUUACUGGAUAGAAAUGAAGGUCCAGUUUUGCAGUUAACCCUUUGGUGUGAUAAAGAAGCAUAAAGACAAGAUAUCAAGAUUGAUUUCAUAUCUGAUACCUAAAGAGAAUCUGUACAAAUACAUAUUUUUACAUGUGUAAAUCCACAUUUUUGGAUGAAAGGAGGGGUUUUUCUCCUGGAGACAGAACCUGUUAUUUACUUUUUCAAGUCUUGGAACAUUUGCUCUUUUUAAAUUUUUUCAUUCUUCUACAGAAGGACCAGAUUGUGUAGCAGCUAAGUGAGUGCAUGCUUACAUUUAGUUAAAAGAAUGGUAAAAGCGAACAACCCAGUUUGAGUCCAUGAUGGAACCCUGUUCACCUUCCUAAGAUGAGAGGCUGCUGUAUUACAGUUUUAUUCAUCCUGUUUUCUGGAGUCAUAUAGCACAGUAGAGUUAGUUUUCCGUGUGGCCAAAACUGGAAUAAAAGUAGCACGAGUAGUUUUUUAGAUAAGAAGGUGAGAUGGACCCUAUAGUAUGACCUGCUUUGAACUUUGGACAUAGAAGAGAAGAAAAAGAUAAUGAGAAGUUUCCAUAUAACUCCUUUUUCCUAAGAAAAAGAAAAAUGUCUUAUGUAGCACCAUUUGACUUUUUUGGAAUUUUACAUUACAUAGUUCCAUUUUUUAUAAAGUCACAAGUAACUCUUUUCUCAACCCAGAUGGGUACUUGGAUUUAUUUUUCUAGGUGGUAGGUGUAAUGUUAAACUGAAAAGGCUGGGACUCAGGUAAAUUUCCCCAGUUGGAAUUGGACUUUCUCGUUACCGAGUGGGUCUAUCUCAGAACCAAUGUUGUCAAUCCACUGGUUUCAUUGUAGAUUUAGAAGAAAUUCAGGAUCUGAAAAAAAAAACCUCAAAUAAGAAAAAUAGUUCCACUAAGAAAUGUGGAUUUUGUGUUUCGUUCAUUAUAGAUUGAGAAGAAAUUCAGGGUUUGGGGAAAAAGAAAACAAAAACAAGAAAUAUGGAUCUUCCUUCUUUUUUUCCCCUUUAACAGUUAUAUGAUGAAGACUAGAGUGGAAAACUGUUCUUGCUUUCAAACAAACAGGAGCAUUGUAUGAUAUCAAGCCUUUCAUAAGAAGCAUGGACACUUUAUUAAUGAUUCUUAGUAGAGAAAGAAUUUUAAACUUACUAGAUGAAAUUAAGAACAGGUAGUAUAAUUAGAUCAUCUUUGUUUUCUGGAAUGGUUGCUGAGGGCCAUGGGUGCGAUGAUGUUGGGAACACAGGGCAGAUUUACCAAAAAUUGAGAGUGAUAGAAAUUGCCAAAAUGGGAAAUGUUGAGCAUUGUUAUGAUUAGAUUGGUGAACUAAUUUGAUUUAGAAUAAAAAAGCUUUUUCACAAAAUACAUAGUGUAGAUAAAAUAUAUAUAUAUAUAUAAUUUUUUAAAAAUUUCUUUUAAUGUAGAGCAUUUACUGAGAGAGAUAAGAGAAAUAACUUUGGUUAAAGGUAACUUAGAUUUUUCUUUAAAUAACCCCUUAUGCCACUUCUUGAUAUUUUCCUUUACUAUUUUGGACUUGUUAAAGACUGAAAGCCUAUAUACAUAUAUCCCACUGUUAUGUUGGGAAUGUCAUCAUGGAGAAUUUGUACCUUCUAGGUGUCAUAUCCAUCUCCCCCAUGUCUUCUUGGCAACUUUUUGGGUAGGGUCAUGGGGCAAGGGAUAUAAGCACCAGUGGAACAACUCUGAUCCACUUGUUUGAACAGGUGUCAGACCUGCCUCCUUCAGCAUUUUUUCAACUUAUAACUGAGAACCAGUGUUAAUGAUAUCUUUCAAAGGAAAUGUUUCCACAUCUUACAUGAUUGACAUUAGAUGACGUUUAACAACAUGGGCAUAUUCCAGUUGUAGUUGCCCAGUAUUUACUUAAUACAUUUGCAUUUUUCUCUGGUCUGUUGGUCCCUUUCUUGAUGGCAAAAACUUAAUUUUAGAAAUGCUUCAAUCUGCAUUUGUGCUUCCUUUGCUUUGCUCAUCCAUGUUAGCUGGCAGUUUAUCCUUUGAAAAGUCAAACAAAAACGGGAUAUGUGCAAUAGAAAUAUAUAUAUGUAUAUUUUAAUACUUGUGGACAAAUGUUACAAGUUGUUUAAGAACAACAAAAUCACCAAUGUCUUCCAUUUUGAGAUGUGUAUAGUUUUGUAAGCAUUAGUGCUUGGUAGCAUAUUAUAGUGCCAUGUUAGGGGUUAGUGCAUGAUCCUAGUAAUAAUUUUAAACUUCAGGAUGAGUUAUUGAUAAUAACCAAUAGUGUAAAAAGAGUUGAAACUCUAUAUAAGACUUUUUUUUUCUUCCCAUAAAUACCUGAAUCUGUGAUAUUCUCCCUGGGGAAAGGAGAUUAAGGACAAAAACAAUUGUUUAUGAAUAGAAAUGUGGGUUCACCAUUAGAAACAUCGUAUUUGAGGACAUAAAUGCUUUCCAUGAGCUGGCUAGAAACAGCUAGCCUUGUAUCUCACAAAACCUCAAGUCAAAAUGAGGCCCCAUUUUCAUGAUUCUGUGUUGCUGUUAAUUUGAGGUCAAUUUGUUCUUAUACUGUUUUCAUAUUAUGUCUUGGGUUCAUUCUUACUCCUUUUGCAUCUACAAAUAGUUUUACAUUCUGCAUGUCCUACUAAGAUGCUGUAAUUGCUUCAUUGAGUGCUUAUAUAAUCUGCAGACUAUUUGCUAAUCCUGUCAGCAGCAUGUGUGUUAAUGCAAGAAUAAUAUCAAUGGUUUGGGAGUGUCCUAGAUUGUUUCAGCCUCUUCUAUUUCUGAAUCUGCUAAAUUGUGUACUGAUGGGAUUCCAGACCUUUUCAUGAGCAUUGGAAACAUAGUUAAAUGGAGCUUACCUACGUUGCCAUAUAAUAAUAAGUGGACUCUUGCCCUUGGUUACAGUAAGCCACAGAUAACUUUCCCUUUUUUCUGUUUUCCCUUAUAGAAAUAAAACAGUCAUUUUUGUUUUGAAAGCAAAAGAUAGUUUUUUGUAAAAAGAAAUUCCUACCUCUAAUCGUCGUCUUGAGAACUGGGAAUUGUUAGUUUUCUGAAGUGUUUUUCAAAUCUCAGUACUAAGAGUCCACGAUUUAUUAGCACAGAUUCUACAUUAGAAAGCUAGGAAAUGCAAAACUGUUCUAAUGUGGUGCAUCCUCAUGAACAAGCAAUCUAUAAUAAGUAGAUUUUAGUAGUAAAUCUCUGGAGGACCCAGGUUUAGAUCCCUAUAGUGUACUUAAAGUUUUGUGCCUGGGAAGAUCCAUUUCUGAAAAGAAUUUAAAAUUUAAAACUCUGAAAAAGGUAAUGAAUAUAAAACAGCACAGUGUAUAGGAAAGGAAAUUUCUGUUGCAAAAAUUUUUAAAAAGCCAUAAAAUGAACUAAUAAUUUUCAAGAGGUAGACUUUUAGCAGCAAUAACGGUUUUGCAUGUAUAAUACACUGCAUUUGCUGUACAGUAGACUAAGUGAUUACUACUUGAGUUUGUGGGGCUCUGUGAUCAACAGAGUUAACAAAAUGAAAAAGAUGAUCUAGGUACAGAGCAUAUAAAAGGUACUUUCUUUUAAUUAAAACAGUAUGAAUGUAUGACUAUAUCUGUAUGAGAAAUAACUUUUGUGUAUGUUUCAAGGUUAAAGACCCUAUUUGUUUCUUAAAGCAGAGGGUUGGAGUUAUUGAAGUGAAAUCCUUCUAGUGUUUAAUAUGGAAACAAAUGCACUCUACAGCCCCAGUGAAGUCAAGGUGGGGUUUUUGCUUUGGUUUUUCCAUGUUACAAUAGGUAUUCACUGUAUAGAAUGGUAUUCUCUUCUGCUUUGUCACCUUUCUCUUUUGGCUUCCUGGGUACAUUUUUAAAGAGGAAAAGUGUGUGUGUGUGUGUGAGAGAGAGAGAGAGAGAUUAGAGUUUAAAAAAAUUUUUAAAAGCCAAUAACUUGUUUAGCUUGCUUUUCCUCAUGUUUAUGAUUAAGGAAGUUAUGAUUUAAAGGUAAGAAGCAGGAGGACUGGGGAAUAGCCAAAGACUAUUGGUUUUGUGAUACCUUGUUUAAUGCAGUUGUGACAAUGCCUGUGGCCUUUGACUACUUAUUUUAAGGAGAACCUAGCAAACUACUUUCCUGAUCUGAGGAAUUGCACAACUCACUUCAGGAUGUAACAGUGAAACUAGGGUGACUUCUUACUUACUUUACCUCAUGUCCAAGCUUGGCCAUUUAGCACCUUGAAGGUCCCUGAAAAGGUCUGUGUACCUUUGUUUUCCUGGGGCAGGGGGACUAAAAGAUAAGCAUUAUAGAUUUCGGAAUCACUUGAAUCUUUAAUUCUUAUAUGGCAACUCCAAUGGACAAGGAAGGGCUAUAUUGAUUGUAGCUUCUCUUUAAAUGUCCUAUACUGUCAGUCCAUGUUAGACAUUGGAACAGUCAAGCAAUAUUCAGACAUCUGCAUGAUCAUGAGGACAUGGCUACUAAUUACAUUGAUGUCAACACUUAUUUCAAACAGCUAAAGAUUAUCCUUAACAACCAUGUUGUUAAUAGUUCUAACUGCUAAAGUAUGCUACAAGUUUUUGUAGUCUCAAAGUAUGUGGUUAAAUGCUUUUCAAAGUUAUUGUAGUCUCAUGUUUACUCUUAUGUACCUGUCAUAUGCAAAAUAUGAAGAGACCCUUGGCCUUCAGGAGUUUACAUUCUCAUGGUGCUGUUGGUGCAAGCAAAUUGCUUCUAGUUUUUUCAGAACAUUGCUUGGCUAUUAAUUAUACAAUUUGGAAGAAUCCCUUGGCUAAUAGUUUUUAAAAGCAGAGGGCUAUGCUAAAUUUCAGGGCACUGAUGCUUGAGUUUACAUUGUAUUAGCUCUGCCCUUCAACUACUUUUCCCCAGGGAGCUGUACAGGUAAUGCUCAUUAAUGUGAAUCAGAAAAGAAACUAUUCUGCCCAAGAGCUUCUUCAUCAUCCCAUAUACUACAUGUUUUUCUAUGAUAUGGCUGUCAAUAAAUGGCCAAGAAAACUUACUGCUACAUAAGACUGUGCAUCUCUUAAUUCUCUUUUCUUUAUCUAAGGGUUUUACAUGGUUCUUUAUCCAAAAGGGCCAGGAUUUACAUAUAAGCCUUUUAUAACUGAAGUGGUCCUAAUUUUAAACUUUUUGUGUAUGCUUAGACUUCUUUUUUGAAGUAGCAUUGUGAAGAUUUGGAGCACCUGCUUGCAUUUCUAAGCAAUUACUUUAUUAACUCAAAUUUUCAGUUGAAAUUUUGCAUGUCUCCUUGUUAUUUUCCAUAAUUCUUCUGAAUCAAGGGUUUUACUCUGCAUGUUUAUUAAAGCUGGGUCUGAUUGAAAGUAUAAGCAAUAGUGGUGGGUCCAUACUGAUUUUAGAAUACUAAUAUUCUAAUGCAUGACUGAAAUUUUUCAGUGUUAUGUGGUUAUUAUUAGUAAUUUUAUAUAUGCAUUUAAUAAUGAAGCAAUAGAUACUUAAACCAAUAGCUUGAAUUUAUUGAAUUAUUAGUUUUAAUUUUCUAAUUAAAAUUAUCUUACUUCCAUUCAAAAUGGGAAGUCAAAGAUAAACAGGGGCACCCACAAGACAUUCAAACUGUCAGGAUUAGGACAUAACAUUGCUUACCCUCACCUCUUUCCUAGUCCCAAUAGACCCCCCCCAAGCAUGUUUGAAAACAAGACACAAACUAAGCAUGUUGAAUGAGCUGCAGUGGCUAUAAUAAUCAGAAAGGUGCAGAGUUUCAGAAAGGAUAGCAACGUAGGGAAUUAGUGUGCAGUCUGUAAAGGUAUGGGGUUUGUCUGAUAAGGUUUAUGUAGACCUGUUUGGGGUUUCUUAAAACUAGUUAUUGAGUCAGGCAUGGUGGCACGCCCCUGUAAUCCCAGCUGCUCAGGAGGCUGAGGCAGGAGGAUCACAAAUUCAAUUUCAGACUCAACAAUUUGACUAGACCCUAUCAAAAAAAUAAAAAGGGCUGGGGAUGUGGUAAAGUGCCUCUGGGUUCAAUCUCCAGUAUUCACCCCUCCUGGGAGGGGAGAAAAACUAGUAUCUUGAGCCAAGUGUUGUGGCACAUACCUGACUUCCAACUACUUAGGAGACUAAGGGGAGGAAAUUACUUGAGCUCGGGAUUUUGAGGCCCACGUGGGCACCAUAGUGAAAUCACAUCACAAAAAGUAAUAUACGCAUAUUUUAGAUGUUUUAAGCAACUGUUCUGGAUGAUACUGAUCAGCUAUAAGGGAUCCUGCAAGGGAGACAUUCAUCUAUAAAGUUAUGAAAUUGCUGAUAUGUAGUUUCUUGUUACUGUAUUCAAAACUUUUUUAUUAAUAACCAGAGUUUUAUGCCUGACUUGGUGAGAAUGCAGUUUCUUCCCUAAGAGUUUUUGAUCCCAGGUACACAGGUGAAAACUUUUCUCUUUCAAAAAUAAUGAUAAUCUUGACAUUUAUUUUAUGAAAAAACAUCAGCUUAUUGUGGUAGCAUAAGGGCUGGGGGUGUAGCACAGUGGUGGAGUGCUUUCCUAACACGCAAGGCCCUGGGUUGCAAAAGAAAACAAGAACCUAGAAGUAGUAACCCUAGUGAUUAUAAGAAAUAAUGUACAAAUGUAAUUCAUAAUGUCUGAAAGAAGCCUAAAUAGAGAAUUCAGGAUAAGACUACAUGAUUUUCAUUAGGCUCUUCCAGGUUUCAUGUUCUAUGAUUGAAAUCAACUUCGUAUUUGCUUCAGGACUUUGCUACAUAUAUCUUUGGGAUGUAUUAAAUGGAAUGGUGAUUUCAGUGGUUCAGAAUUUAUUUAGGUUUGUCAUUAAGAUGUUUGCUUUCUACAGAAAUAUAGAAAGUGAGGUGUAUCCCGUAUGUAAAUGUUCUUUGCCACUUACAGAUAACAUGUCUGCCAAUCAAUAAAGAUUUAAGGUCUAGACUCUCCCUGUUAUUCACUAAGCAUAUUUAGAUUAUUUGGAAAAUGAAAAUUCAAACGAAAUUUCUCCAGAAACUAAAUUUUACUCAUUUAAAAGAAUAGUUGGCUUAUGAUUAUGAUUUUCAAAAUGUUUUUCUCCUAUGGUGUGGCGUGUCAUCAAUUAAAAUACAUUUUAGGGUUGGUGUGUAGCUCAAUGGUAGAUCACCUGGCUAGCAUGCCUGAGUACCUGGGUCCAAUCCCCAGAAUCUCAAAAAAAAUUUUUUUUUCUUUAUCCCAAGGGUCAGGAAGAUAUUCUGGCAGUUAUCUCAAUCUUUAAACAGUUCAGUCUUGGAGUUUAUUUUAAAACCACAUACUCAUCUUCAUAAUAAAAUAUUCAGGAUAUUAAGUGUAUAUUAUCAAUAAUUUAUUUACUGUCCCCUAAGUACAGGACUUGACCACUAUAUUUAUGUGCUAUUCUACAUAUUCCAUUGUACCAUUGGUCUAUAAGAUGUUAAAAGAAUUUUAUUGAAUAUUUGAAGUAUUACAAAAGGCAGCUUGCUUUUUAAUCUAUGCAUCUUUGGGAGUUUUGAAGAAGAUAUUUAUUCCUUGAUGUAAAAAGGAACUGUUUUAAGAGUUGGAAACUCUGCACCUGUGUAUAUGUAUAUUUUUAGCAAUAAAGCAGCAUGGGCUGAGAAUGCACUGAAAUUUCAUUGUGUUAUCUGUUAUUUGAAAGGGAAAUUUUCAUUUAAUGCUAUAAAUUGUGAUGGUAAAAGCAGC